rnacentral:lncRNA from 10 species
CAUCAGGGAGUCAGUUAGCAGAGUGGUUAAGGGUAUAAGCUGGGCAUUUGGCAGAGAGACCGAUUCUGGCUGUGCUCUCUACUGGUUGUGGGUCACUGUGCACAGUGCUGAACCUCUCCGUGCCUCAGUUUUCUCAGCUGCAAAAGGAAAAGCCUCCUUUUGCCUACAUCAAAGAGUUGUUGUGUGAAUCAGUGAUACGCCUGCCUGGAAAGGCACAGUGCCUGAUACAGGGACAUGCAAUGAGGUGGAAGUGCCUGGUUUAGACACAGCAGCAGUGAACUCCCAAAUGAGUGCCUAAGCCUGCUGCUGUCCCUGCGUGCUGUGAUGUGACAUCUCUUUGCCCAGCUUUCCUUCUUUCUUUAAAAGAUACCACCAGGCCCCGAAAGAGCCAUGAGAAGGAAGGAGUGGAAUAUCACUUUGUGUCUAAGCAAGCAUUUGAGGCCGACUUACAUCACAACAAGUUCCUGGAACAUGGUGAAUAUAAGGAAAAUCUGUAUGGAACCAGCCUGGAGGCCAUUCAGGCUGUUAUGGCCAAAAACAAAGUUUGUUUGGUGGAUGUGGAGCCAGAAGCACUGAAACAACUGAGGACCUCAGAAUUUAAACCCUAUAUUAUAUUUGUAAAGCCUGCAAUUCAGGAAAAAAGAAAAA